CUACAUGCUAGAAACUUUCUAACAAAUGUUAUCUUGGAAAAACACCCAAAAUAAAGCUAAUCAAAUGAGUAAAAUUGAACUUCAAAUCUAAUUAAGGAGCUGAAUUAGGGACCCAUGUAUAUAUUAAAUUAAGUAAAAUGAGUUAAAAUUAACUUUAAAUCUAGUCAAGGGCUUGAAAUAGGGACCCAUGUAAAUAUUAAAUUAAGUAAUACAUGUUUAAAGGCAAGGCAGUUACUCAUAUCACCGGAGACCCCAUGCAUUAAACUUUCGUCAUGCUUUUAACAGCAUGAAAAGUAGUAAAACAAAUUAAUUAAGCAAGAACGGUGGCUAGCUACCACAAUUUCUGAUGCUUCCAUGCAUACACAUCAUGCACAUGUACCUAUCACAUGAAUAGAUCAUAUCUUGUAGUGUACUCCAAUUAUCAACACCUAGAUAUCUUUCUCGACACAUCAUUUUUUUCAACAAAUUAAAUUUAUUAUUUAAAAAUUAACAGUCAUGAUAUAAUAUGUAUACAUAUAUAUAUCCUUUAUUUUCGCAAAUACUUUACAGCCCUUUAAAUUUACAGGAACAGAGAGAAAGAAACGGCUUUUGGGGGUGCGGUGCAGGUGCUCGCAGCAGAGAUAUUAAGAUGGUGAGAUCAAGGAUCUUCACUUGGUGAUGGCGUAGA